GCGGGAGUAGCUCAGUGGCAGAGCUCCUGCCUUCCAAGCAGGUCACACGGGUUCGAUUCCCGUCUCCCGCU
rfam:Candidatus Aminicenantes bacterium RBG_16_66_30 RBG_16_scaffold_202421, whole genome shotgun sequence.